rnacentral:tRNA from 1 species
ACAUCUUUAGCUGAAUUGGUACAGCGUUUGUCUUCGGAACAAGGGUUUAUUGGUUCGACUCCAAUAAGAUGUU